AUGGUUUAGGUAAAUGUUUCAUGAUAAGAAUUUCAUGUCUUUUGUAUUAAAGAAUUAAAUGGAUGAAAUAUGAAGUUUUAUUAAAAGAAAAAGGGGUGAAAAGAACAAAGUUUUGUCCAUCUUUGUUCAUCAUAGCUGAAAGUUAGAGAAGAGAAAGGAGAGGAGAAAGCUCUUGAGUAUUCGGUCAUUAGGAGGAGGAAAAUUGAAGGAAAUCCCCAACCAUAGUGGGCUUGGAGCUGUGAGGGAAUUCGGAGUGGCCACCCGUUCUGAAAGUUUGAUUUUAUUCUGGUGACAUGGACAUCUUUUUAUUUACGUUUGAAGUUUUUGGGCUUUUAAAUGUAAUAAGGCCGCUUAAUUAUUUUUGAUGGUUUUAAUAUGUAUUACUAAGAUAGGUAUUACUUAUUUUAACUGUUGAAAUUGGAUAGCUUUAGGGCGCGUUUGCAAAAAACAACAAUUGAUUUCAAAAUAACACGACAACAAGCAAAGCUUCCGCAAUGAAA